ensembl:lncRNA
CCCCCCCCCCCCACACACAGGAUGUCACACCUCGCCACCUCACAGGCCGCUCAGCGCACCCGAGGGUCCAGGCUCGGCCCAAAGACUGUGCAGGUGGAGGCCCACGUGUUAGAAGAGGACUCGAGGUGCGAUUUGACUUCACGCGCUGCCACGCGGACGGUGAUUGGGGCGGUUUUCUCACGGCGCCUUCAAGCUUUUUAACCGGUUGAAGGUUGCGCGUGUUGUUAUGCGUUUGGACACAAGGUCGAAAUGUAAAGGCUGAACGGUUAAUAUGCGGCAUGAAGUUCCUAUGAAAUAGGAAUGUUCCUAAUGCAGUGAGCAAGAGAACCAAGAAGAGCUUCUAAACGCCGCGUUGAAACCAUGUUACCUGGUCCCCAAGGUCAAACGCGAGACGGAGGAAUUACACCGGCAUAACCCCAGAUGACGACAUCGUCAGUAAUCUAGUUCCGACACAUUAAACAUGCAAACCGGCAGCUCUCGUGAGCACUGAAAGAGCAGCAAAUUAAAAAGAAAAUGACUCAAAAUCCUGCGUGUGUGCUGACCUGCCAACCCAUCAGCUAUGUCUGACAGCAAUGUGAAGCUUCUAAAUUCCAUUACAGCUAAAGGAUGAAGCCACCUGAUGGCAAACUGUUACAAUCUGCUGUAUGUCAGGGUAGCAAACACAAGCCUCGGGCUGGGAUAUAAAACGCAGCCAAUGAAAGACAGACCAUGUGGGAUGGGGUACCGGCUCAUGAUGUGUUGUCCGACAGAUUUAUGGGAUGAAACGUGACUGAGAGGCCCGUGUUACAUUUGAUUAAACUAGAGGCCUGUGCUGAAACCAUAAAUAUAGCCUGCUAGAGAUAUUUACAUCAGUAGACAUACAUCAGCCAAAGAAAAAGUUGCGAUGGGGCCGACCUUGUGCGGAUAACAAUGCUUCCACGCACUCAUUCACACCUGCAAAGGUCCUUGAUGUGAUGUGAUGUGAUAAUGUGCUAGUGAUAGAUUUUAAAAAAUGAUUGUUGAUUUUGUCAAUUAUUUUCCUAGAGUUGCUUCUCACGCCCCUUUUUAUCACUCGGCAAAGAGAAAAAUAUCCAAAGAGAAAAUGAUUUCUACAUACCACACUGAGAAUCUUGGGUUCAAAGGAUAACGAGAAAUGGGACAUUUAAGUUGAAACUGGAAAGUACUGCAGCACAUUAUAGCACACAGUAAAAAUGCAUGAUAAAAUGGACAAUUAGCGGAUUGGUUAGUACAUAAAAUUAAAUACAAGUAAAAUGUGCACAAAUCAGAAGGUAACCUCAAAAAUACCAUUAAAUUAACAAUGAUCACUGCACAUGUUGUAUUAAAAAUAGCCCAAUAUGGACAGCAGGAGGGAAAAAACACAUCCAACAUUAAAUAAAACAAACUCAGGGAUUUCAAUGAGGUCAUUGCAGUAACCCAUGACAACAGCAACUUCGCCUGUGAGGCUCAUCGUGAAGAACUUACUUCGGUAAUUUAUGCUGCCACAGCACCGCCGCAGAGCCUCACCCAGGAGGACGUCAACUCGAGCGACUGCACCGAAAGGGGCGUGUGCAAAGAACAAGAGCCACGGAGUUCAUCGAGCAACGGCGCCACCUGCUGGAGUGAAAAUGGUACGACACUUGCAGUGUUUUAAGCACAACUCGGAUGGAAACUAGAAGAAUGAACGUUUGCUGAAAGGUUAUUUUGACACUAAAGUGAACUGACAGCAUUACAUCUUGAAAAGUGUAUUAUUAACACAACUUAAGGAUAAAGUUGUUUUGUCCAAAGGCAACGAGGACCUUUCCAAAUGCUGUAAUGUUAGCUCCUCCAUGGAGGAAUGUUAAGGUCUUUAACCUUCCCCAAAAAUAAAUGUCCCGGAGAAAACGGCGAAUCCAUAACUUAUUAACGUGUUAACGUUGUUUUUGAAAAACAAAAAGGCUAACGUUAAUCUUAAAACCGCAGAGGUCUAAUUGACGUCCCAUCGCUGCGUCAUCGACCUGUUAACUAACUUAAUGUCACCGUUAAUAAAGUUAGCGCAUUUGAAUUGAGUUCAAGCCAAACAUUUUACAACCAAACCUUCAGAAAACGAUGAUGGUGGUACACUUACGGUCAUUUUCUUACGUUGAAAAAUGCCACGUUAACGUUGGUCGUCUCAAGUAGUGAGUAUAUGCAAACGUUAAGUAAUGAGAUAAGCUAACGCUAACAUUAUAUGCAGUGCAUUUAAUGAACAUAUUUACCAUGUGUUGACAUUAUAUAAUUACAAAAUAUAACUUAAUGAAAGUGUACUUUAUUUGUGAAAUGUUCCCAUAAUUGUGUGUGUGUGUGUGUAUAUAUAUA